AUGGGCAAGACACUGUUGCUCCUGCCCGUCCUGCUCGUCGCUUCCCUGGGCAUGUCGACGACGGUGGUGCGGAGCGAGCUGGCGUGCGGCAGCCUGAGGGAGCAGUGCAUGGCCAUGUGCAUCCUAGCAAGCUGGUGCAUGCACUGUUGCCAGGCCCGCGGAUACGCCCACGGCCGCUGCAGGGUCCUCCACGGCGAGACCACCUGCUACUGCUGCAAGGACGUGCCCCCCUCCCCCUCCCCGGCUCCCGGCCCGCAGAAGAGCUCCGCCGCCGGCGACCUCACUUUCUUGACCGACUGA
rnacentral:rRNA from 1 species